UGGGGAAUAUUGCACAAUGGGGGAAACCCUGACGCAGCGACGCCGCGUGAAGGAUGAAGUAUUUCGGUAUGUAAACUUCUAUCAGCAGGGAAGAAAAUGACGGUACCUGAGUAAGAAGCCCCGGCUAACUACGUGCCAGCAGCCGCGGUAAUACGUAGGGGGCAAGCGUUAUCCGGAUUUACUGGGUGUAAAGGGAGCGUAGACGGAGAGGCAAGUCUGGAGUGAAAACCCGGGGCUCAACCCCGGGACUGCUUUGGAAACUGUUUUUUCCUAGAGUGUCGGAGAGGUAAGUGGAAUUCCUAGUGUAGCGGUGAAAUGCGUAGAUAUUAGGAGGAACACCAGUGGCGAAGGCGGUCUGCUGGACAGCAACUGACGCUGAGGCGCGAAAGCGUGGGGAGCAAACAGGAUUAAAUACCCC
rnacentral:rRNA from 1 species